GACGAACCGUGCGAACGUUGUUCGGAAUCACUGGGCUUAAAGGGCGCGUAGGUGGGCUAUCAAGUCUGGGGUGAAAUCCCGCGGCUCAACCGUGGAACUGCCUUAGAUACUGACGGCCUUGAGGAAGGUAGGGGCAUGCGGAACUGUAGGUGGAGCGGUGAAAUGCGUUGAUAUCUACAGGAACUCCGGUGGCGAAAGCGGCGUGCUGGACCUUUUCUGACGCUGAGGCGCGAAAGCUAGGGGAGCAAACGGG
rnacentral:rRNA from 1 species